rnacentral:tRNA from 1 species
UUGAUGCAGUUCAGUGGUAGAACGUGUGCCUUGCAUUCAUGAGGUCCUGGGUUCAGUCCUCAGAAGUAUAAAA